CUCUCCCAUUUUCCUUCUGGGAAGAAAGACUUAUAUGACUGUUGCUUAGGAAAGCCUUGGAUAAGGAGCAUAAAAAAGAAAGAUGUGUAACCCUCACUGGUGCGAGAGAAUGGCAAGGACUCAGAUCUCUUGUUGAGAAGGAAGACACGAUUACUUCUUCUUGGGAGCCAUUGAUAAGGAACACCGUUGAGAGAGGAAGACCAAAGGAGAUAAGAGGCGAGAAG
rnacentral:lncRNA from 1 species